rnacentral:rRNA from 1 species
UGAGGAAUAUUGGUCAAUGGGCUUACGCCUGAACCAGCCAAGUCGUGUGAGGGAAGACUGCCCUAUGGGUUGUAAACCUCUUUUUGUCAGGGAGCAACGCCGGCUACGUGUAGCCGGACUGAGAGUACCUG